GGACCGCUGGCGCAACGGUAGCGCGUUCGACUCCAGCAGUGGUUCAAUCGAAAGGUUAUCCGUUCAAAUCGGGUGUGGUUCA
rnacentral:tRNA from 1 species